rnacentral:rRNA from 1 species
ACGUUAGUUGCUAACGCGUGAAGGCGAGCACUCUAGGACGAACUGCCGUUGCAAACGGAGGAAGGUGGGAUGACGUCAAAUCAUCAUGCCCUUAUGUUCUGGGCUACACACGUGCUACAAUGGCCGGUACAGACGGACGCAAAGCCGCGAGGUGGAGCAAAUCCUAAAAAGCCGGUCUCAGUUCGGAUUGCAGGCUGCAAUUCGUCUGCAUGAAGUCGGAAUCGCUAGUAAUCGCAGGUCAGCAUACUGCGGUGAAUACGUUCCCGGGCCUU